UACGGAGGGUGCAAGCGUUAUCCGGAUUCACUGGGUUUAAAGGGUGCGUAGGUGGGCAGUUAAGUCAGUGGUGAAAUCUCCGGGCUUAACCCGGAAACUGCCAUUGAUACUAUCUGUCUUGAAUACCGUGGAGGUGAGCGGAAUAUGUCAUGUAGCGGUGGAAAUGCUUAGAUAUGACAUAGAACACCAAUUGCGAAGGCAGCUCACUACACGAAUAUUGACACUGAGGCACGAAAGCGUGGGGAUCAAACAGG
rnacentral:rRNA from 1 species